rnacentral:pre_miRNA from 1 species
UAAGUACUCCCUCCGUCCGAAAAUACUUGUCCUAGAGAUGAAUGUAUUUAGACUUAUUUUAGUUAUAGAUACAUUCACUAUAUCCAUUUUUAGAACAAAUAUUUUUCCGGACGAAGUGAGUAUUAA